CCUACGGGAGGCAGCAGUAGGGAAUCUUCCACAAUGGGCGAAAGCCUGAUGGAGCAACGCCGCGUGGGUGAAGAAGGUCUUCGGAUCGUAAAACCCUGUUGUUAGAGAAGAAAGUGCGUGAGAGUAGCUGUUCACGUUUCGACGGUAUCUAACCAAAAAGCCACGGCUAACUACGGGCCAGCACCCGCGGUUAUACGUAGGUGGCAAGCGUUAUCCGGAUUUAUUGGGCGUAAAGGGAACGCAGGCGGGCUUUUAAGUCUGAUGUGAAAGCCUUCGGGUUAACCGGAGGAGCGCAUUGGAAACUGGGAAACUUGAGUGCAGAAGAGGAGAGUGGAACUCCAUGUGUAGCGGUGAAAUGCGUAGAUAUAUGGAAGAACACCAGUGGCGAAAGCGGCUCUCUGGCCUGUAACUGACGCUGAGGUUCGAAAGCGUGGGUAGCAAACAGGAUUAGAUACCCUAGUAGUC
rnacentral:rRNA from 1 species